ensembl:lncRNA
GGGUAGCUACAUGUUAGAAGGGGGUAGGUAGCUACUUGUUAGAAGGGGGUAAUUAGCUACAUGUUAGAAGGGGGUGGGUAGCUACAUGUUAGAAGGGGGUAGGGAGCUACAUGUUAGAAGGGGUAGGUAGCUACAUGUUAGAAGGGGUUAAUUAGCUACAUGUUAGAAGGGGGUGGUAGCUACAUGUUAGAAGGGGGUAAUUAGCUACAUGUUAGAAGGGGGUGGGUAGCUACAUGUUAGAAGGGGGUAGGUAGCUACAUGUUAGAAGGGGGUAGGUAGCUACAUGUUAGAAGGGGGUGGGUAGCUACAUGUUAGAAGAGGGUGGGUAGCUACAUGUUAGAAGGGGGUGGGUAGCUACAUGUUAGAAGGGGGUGGGUAGCUACAUGUUAGAAGGGGGUGGGCAGCUACAUGUUAGAAGGAGGCCAACUACCUACAAUUUAGAAGAGGGUAGCUAACUUCAACCAGCAACAUGUUAAAAAGGGGUAGCUAGCUACAUGUUAGAAGGGGGUAGCUAGCAACAUGCUGUG